rnacentral:rRNA from 1 species
UACGUAGGGGGCAAGCGUUGUCCGGAUUUAUUGGGCGUAAAGAGCGUGUAGGCGGCCAUACAGGUCAGCUGUGAAAACUCGAGGCUCAACCUCGAGACGUCGGUUGAAACCGUAUGGCUAGAGUCCGGAAGAGGAGAGUGGAAUUCCCGGUGUAGCGGUGAAAUGCGCAGAUAUCGGGAAGAACACCCGUGGCGAAGGCGGCUCUCUGGGCAUGUCCGUGACGCUGAGGCACGAAAGCGUGGGGAGCAAACAGG